AACUUCCGUUCUUUGUUCUGUCCCCGGUGUGUGGGUCUGUGACAGGGUCCAACAGGGCCUGGUCCGUGUCCGGUCCCCCAAAUCUGUCGUCCCUGCCCCCAGGCAUUGGCAUCAACAAAAGUCAGAAUUCCCGGGAACUUGAACAGAGGCUGCUAAAUUCCCAGUAAUUGCUCCUUUGGCCUUCUAGGGACUGACUUCAAAGAAGGAAGGAAAGAAUCAGGCAGUGCUUCCUCAUUCUCUUUUAAAACCCGCUUCCCGCUGAGUCUGCACCCAGGAGACCAGAGAGCACCUUGCCCUUCCAUGGAAACUCAGGCUGAUCUCGUAUCUCAGGAACCUCAGGCCCUGCUUGACAGUGGUGAGGAAUAAGGACUCAUUCAUUCUUUUACUCAGUCAUUCUGCAAUCAUCCAUUGAAAUCGCUCACUUACCAGGUACUAGGCUAACUACUAGAAUCCAGAUGUGAAUAAGACACACUCUUCGCCAUUCAGUAACUCACAGCCUAGUGGGGAAGCUGACCGAACAGUAAUCAAUGACAGCUUGAUAGGUUUGAUAAUUGAGGCAGAUUGUUUUGUUUUGUUUUGUUUUUUUUGAGAUGGAGUCUUGCUCUGUUGCUCAGGCUAGAGUGCAGUGGCACAAUCUCGG
rnacentral:lncRNA from 10 species